rnacentral:rRNA from 1 species
AGAGUUUGAUCAUGGCUCAGAACGAACGCUGGCGGCGUGGAUUAGGCAUGCAAGUCGAACGAGAAAGAUUCUUUCGGGAAUCGAGUAAAGUGGCAAACGGGUGAGUAACGCGUGGGAAACCUGCCUUUCAGUUGGGGAUAACACUUCUAACGAGGUGCUAAUACCGAAUAUAAUCUUUCCAUCGCAUGAUGGGUUGAUGAAAGACGGCCUCUGUUUUAAGCUGUCACUGAAAGAUGGUCCCGCGUCCCAUUAGCUUGUUGGUGAGGUAACAGCUCACCAAGGCGACGAUGGGUAGCCGGCCUUAGCGGGUGAUCGGCCACACUGGGAUUGAGAUACGGCCCAGACUCCUACGGGAGGCAGCAGUCGAGAGGCAUCCACAAUGGGGGAAACCCUGAUGGUGCGACGCCGCGUGGGUGAUGAAGGUUUUCGGAUCGUAAAACCCUUUCAGCAAGGACGAAGAUGUUGGGUGUCAAUAUCGCCUGACAUAAGACGGUACUUGAAGAAGAAGCUCCGGCUAACUCCGUGCCAGCAGCCGCGGUAAGACGGGGGGAGCAAGCGUUGUUCGGAUUUACUGGGCGUAAAGGGCGUCUAGGCGGAUUAGCAAGUCAGAUGUGAAAUCCCACGACUCAAUCGUGGAACUGCAUUUGAAACUGCUAGUCUUGAGUACGGAAGAGGAAAGCGGAAUUCCUGGUGUAGCGGUGAAAUGCGUAGAUAUCAGGAAGAACAUCGGUGGCGAAGGCGGCUUUCUGGUCCGAUACUGACGCUAAAGCGCGAAAGUGUGGGGAGCAAACAGGAUUAGAUACCCUGGUAGUCCACACUGUAAACGAUGGAUACUUGGUGUCGGGGAGCCGACAUCCUC